AGGUUCUUUCUGAGACAAAUGUUUUCGUGGUGUGGGAGUAAGACUUGGUGGUCUAAUACAGCUAAUAUGUAGGUUAGCAUCACAGCUUGUCUGUAAGGAUUGAGAAUGGCCAUUGGAGCUGACUUUUAUGAUAACUUUAACUGUAGCUGCAUUAAGUAGCUGUGUGAUGUAACAGUAAAGAAUGUAAUUCAGACAAUUUUUGUGUUUGUUUCAGGAAUUGUUUAUAAUUUUUAACAUAAAAAAAAAAAAAAAAAAAAAAAAUAAAA